AAGAAAGACAAGAAGGAAGAAGAAGAAGUCGUCCCACAUGUUGUAAAUGCAUGCUCCGUUUUUCAUUCUUGUAAUAUUUGCUUCACUUUUGGAUAACAUUACUUUUGUAGAUGAGGAAGGCGCCUUGUGGACAAGGUGCUGCAGCCGAAGACAAUGAAGACUACGCCUUGACGCAACUAUUGAAAGUCCAAUGUGCAUAUGACCAAAUAAAAGAAUAAAAACUGUGAACCAAU